rfam:Curtobacterium sp. Leaf261 contig_5, whole genome shotgun sequence.
UCGGCUCCGGUUCACGCCGACGACGGACGCCGACGACCCGGUCGCC